UGGGGAAUCUUGCGCAAUGGGCGAAAGCCUGACGCAGCGACGCCGCGUGAGUGAUGAAGGCCUUCGGGUUGUAAAGCUCUGUGGAGGGGGACGAAUAAGUGUCGUCGAAUAGACGGCAUGAUGACGGUACCUCUUUAGCAAGCACCGGCUAACUCUGUGCCAGCAGCCGCGGUAAGACAGAGGGUGCAAACGUUGUUCGGAAUUACUGGGCGUAAAGCGCGUGUAGGCAGCUCGGAAAGUCGGAUGUGAAAGCCCUGGGCUUAACCCAGGAAGAGCAUUCGAAACUUCCGAGCUUGAGUUCCGGAGAGGAAGGCGGAAUUCUCGGUGUAGAGGUGAAAUUCGUAGAUAUCGAGAGGAACACCGGUGGCGAAGGCGGCCUUCUGGACGGUGACUGACGCUGAGACGCGAAAGCGUGGGGAGCAAACAG
rnacentral:rRNA from 1 species